UCAGUCCGGGAAAGAAAAGACUUGGGUUAAUACCCGGCUGGNGGAUGACGGUACCGGAAUAAUAAGCACCGGCUAACUACGUGCCAGCAGCCGCGGUAAUACGUAGGGUGCGUAGCGUUAAUCGGAAUUACUGGGCGUAAAGCGUGCGCAGGCGGUUAUGUAAGACAGACGUGAAAUCCCCGGGCUCAACCUGGGAACUGCAUUUGUGACUGCCUGGCUAGAGUACGGCAAAGGGGGAUGGAAUUCCACGUGUAGCAGUGAAAUGCGUAAAUAUGUGGAGGAACACCAAUGGCGAAGGCAACCCCCUGGGUCCAAUACUGACGCUCAUGCACGAAAGCGUGGGUAGCAAACAGGAUAAGAUACCCUGNNAGUCCACNCCCUAAA
rnacentral:rRNA from 1 species